rnacentral:rRNA from 1 species
CGUAGGUGGCAAGCGUUGUCCGGAUUUAUUGGGUUUAAAGGGUGCGUAGGCGGUCUUUUAAGUCAGUGCUGAAAUACUCCAGCUUAACUGGAGGGGUGGCAUUGAUACUGGGAGACUUGAGUGUAGUCGAGGUAGGCGGAAUUGACGGUGUAGCGGUGAAAUGCUUAGAUAUCGUCAAGAACACCGAUAGUGAAGACAGCUUACUAGGCUACAACUGACGCUGAGGCACGAAAGUGUGGGGAUCAAACAGGAUUAGAUACCCUGGUAGUCCACACUGUAAACGUUGAUGACUCGCUGUGUGCGAUAUACAGUACGCGGCUAAGCGAAAGCGAUAAGUCAUCCACCUGGGAAGUACGAUCGCAAGAUUG